rnacentral:rRNA from 1 species
ACUCAAAGGAAUUGACGGGGGCCCGCACAAGCGGAGGAACAUGUGGUUUAAUUCGAUGAUACGCGAGGAACCUUACCCGGGCUCGAACGGUGCAGGAAUAUGGAUGAAAGUUCAUAGCUAGCAAUAGUCUGUAUCGAGGUGCUGCAUGGUUGUCGUCAGCUCGUGCCGUGAGGUGUCGGCUUAAGUGCCAUAACGAGCGCAACCCUUACCGUUAGUUACUAACAGGUCAUGCUGAGGACUCUAGCGGGACUGCCGCCGUAAGGUGAGAGGAAGGUGGGGAUGACGUCAAAUCAGCACGGCCCUUACGUCCGGGGCGACACACGUGUUACAAUGGGGGGGACAAAGGGCAGCUACACAGCGAUGUGAUGCAAAUCUUCAAACCCUCUCCCAGUUCGGAUUGGAGUCUGCAACUCGACUCCAUGAAGCUGGAUUCGCUAGUAAUCGCGCAUCAGCCAUGGCGCGGUGAAUACGUUCCCGGGCCUUGUACACACCGCCCGU